rnacentral:rRNA from 1 species
GUGCUAAGGUAGCAUAAUCAUUUGUCUUUUAAAUGAAGACUAGAACAAAUGACUUAACAUUUCAAUUAAUAUCUUUAAUUCAUAAAUUAAAUUUUACAAAAAUGUAAAAAAUCAUUUUCUAAAAAGAAAGACRAUAAGACCCUAUUGAACUUUACUUCAGUUUUACUGGGGCAGUAAAUUAAUUAUUAUUUUAUUAAAUAAUAAAUUCAAAAAUAUCUAAAAUAUUUAAAUAAUUCAGUUACCAUAGGGAUAACAGCGCAAUAAUAUUUUAAAGACCUUAUUAAAAAUUUAGUUUACGACCUCGAUGUUGAAUUAAUAACCUAAUUAAAGCAAAAUUUAAACAAGGAAGUCUGUUCGACUUUUAAAAAAUUACAUGAUUUGAGUUCAGACCGGUGUAAGCCAGGUCGGUUUCAAUCUUCUAAAUCAAUAUUUUUUACAGUACGAAAGGACCUAAAAAAAUAAUAUUAUUAAUAUAAUUGGCAGAAAAUUGCAUUAGAAUUAGAAUCUAAUAAAACUUUA